GAUGAAGAACGUAGCGAAAUGCGAUAAGUAAUGUGAAUUGCAGAAUUCAGUGAAUCAUCGAAUCUUUGAACGCACAUUGCGCCCUCUGGUAUUCCGGGGGGCAUGCCUGUUCGAGCGUCAUUAUAACCACUCAAGCUCUCGCUUGGUAUUGGAGUUCGCGAUCUCGCGGCUCCUAAAAUCAGUGGCGGUGCCUGUCGGCUCUACGCGUAGUAAUACUCCUCGCGAUUGAGUCCGGUAGGUUUACUUGCCAGCAACCCCCAAUUUUUACAGGUUGACCUCGGAUCAGGUAGGGAUACCCGCUGAACUUAAGCAUAUCAUAAGCGGAGGA
rnacentral:misc_RNA from 1 species